ACGGGUGAGUAACACGUGGGAACGUGCCCUUCGGUUCGGAAUAACUCAGGGAAACUUGAGCUAAUACCGGAUACGCCCUUAUGGGGAAAGGUUUACUGCCGAAGGAUCGGCCCGCGUCUGAUUAGCUUGUUGGUGGGGUAACGGCCUACCAAGGCGACGAUCAGUAGCUGGUCUGAGAGGAUGAUCAGCCACACUGGGACUGAGACACGGCCCAGACUCCUACGGGAGGCAGCAGUGGGGAAUAUUGGACAAUGGGCGCAAGCCUGAUCCAGCCAUGCCGCGUGAGUGAUGAAGGCCUUAGGGUUGUAAAGCUCUUUUGUCCGGGACGAUAAUGACGGUACCGGAAGAAUAAGCCCCGGCUAACUUCGUGCCAGCAGCCGCGGUAAUACGAAGGGGGCUAGCGUUGCUCGGAAUCACUGGGCGUAAAGGGCGCGUAGGCGGCCGAUUAAGUCGGGGGUGAAAGCCUGUGGCUCAACCACAGAAUUGCCUUCGAUACUGGUUGGCUUGAGACCGGAAGAGGACAGCGGAACUGCGAGUGUAGAGGUGAAAUUCGUAGA
rnacentral:rRNA from 2 species